rnacentral:rRNA from 1 species
AGAGCUCAAAUUUGAAAGCUGGUACCUUCGGUAUCCGCGUUGUAACCUCGAGACACGUUUUCCGUGCGGCGCUAUGGACAAGUUCCUUGGAACAGGACAUCGUAGAGGGUGAAAAUCCCGUACUUGCCAUGGAUGUACCGUGCUUUGCGAUACGUGCUCUAAGAGUCGAGUUGUUUGGGAUUGCAGCUCAAAAUGGGUGGUAGACUCCAUCUAAAGCUAAAUAUCGGGGAGAGACCGAUAGCGAACAAGUACCGUGAGGGAAAGAUGAAAAGCACUUUGGAAAGAGAGUUAAAAGUACGUGAAAUUGUCGAAAGGGAAGCGCUUGAAGUCAGCCAUGCCGCUCAGGACUCAGCCUGGCUUUUGCUUGGUGUAUUUCCUGGGUAGCAAGUCAGCAUUGGUUUGGAUCGUCGGAGAAGCAUAGUUGGAAUGUGGCGCCCUCGGGCGUGUUAUAGCCUUCUAUUGGAUACGACGAUCUGGACCAAGGAACGCAGCGCGCCUUAUGGCGGGUCUUCGGACACCUUCGCGCUUAGGAUGCUGGCGUAAUGGCUUUAAGUGGCCCGUC